CCCCUAGAUGUUCUGGGCCGCACGCGCGCUACACUGAACAGUUCAACAAGUCUUAACCUUGGCCGAUAGGUCUGGGUAAUCUUUGAACGCUGUUCGUGAUUGGGAUAGACCUUUGCAAUUAUGGGUCUUCAACGAGGAAUUCCUAGUAAACGCAAGUCAUCAGCUUGCAUUGAUUACGUCCCUGCCCUUUGUACACACCGCCCGUCGCUCCUACCGAUUGAGUGAUUCGGUGAAUAAUUCGGACUGCAGCAAUGUUUGGAUCCCGAACGUUGCAGCGGAAAGUUUAGUGAACCUCAUCACUUAGAGGAAGGAGAAGUCGUAACA
rnacentral:rRNA from 1 species